GGAUCAUUACAAGAACGCCCGGGCUUCGGCCUGGUUAUUCAUAACCCUUUGUUGUCCGACUCUGUUGCCUCCGGGGCGACCCUGCCUUCGGGCGGGGGCUCCGGGUGGACACUUCGAACUCUUGCGUAACUUUGCAGUCUGAGUAAACUUAAUUAAUAAAUUAAAACUUUUAACAACGGAUCUCUUGGUUCUGGCAUCGAUGAAGAACGCAGCGAAAUGCGAUAAGUAAUGUGAAUUGCAGAAUUCAGUGAAUCAUCGAAUCUUUGAACGCACAUUGCGCCCCCUGGUAUUCCGGGGGGCAUGCCUGUUCGAGCGUCAUUUCACCACUCAAGCCUCGCUUGGUAUUGGGCAACGCGGUCCGCCGCGUGCCUCAAAUCGUCCGGCUGGGUCUUCUGUCACCUAAGCGUUGUGGAAACUAUUCGCUAAAGGGUGUUCGGGAGGCUACGCCGUAAAACAACCCCAUUUCUAAGGUUGACCUCGGAUCAGGUAGGGAUACCCGCUGAACUUAAGCAUAUCAAUAAGCGGAGGAAAAGAAACCAACAGGGAUUGCUCUAGUAACGGCGAGUGAAGCAGCAAUAGCUCAAAUUUGAAAUCUGGCGUCUUCGACGUCCGAGUUGUAAUUUGUAGAGGAUGCUUCUGAGUGGCCACCGACCUAAGUUCCUUGGAACAGGACGUCAUAGAGGGUGAGAAUCCCGUAUGCGGUCGGAAAGGCGCUCUAUACGUAGCUCCUUCGACGAGUCGAGUUGUUUGGGAAUGCAGCUCUAAGUGGGAGGUAAAUUUCUUCUAAAGCUAAAUAUUGGCCAGAGACCGAUAGCGCACAAGUAGAGUGAUCGAAAGAUGAAAAGCACUUUGGAAAGAGAGUUAAAAAGCACGUGAAAUUGUUAAAAGGGAAGGGAUUGCAACCAGACUUGCUCGCGGUGUUCCGCCGGUCUUCUGACCGGUCUACUCGCCGCGUUGCAGGCCAGCAUCGUCUGGUGCCGCUGGAUAAGACUUGAGGAAUGUAGCUCCCUCGGGAGUGUUAUAGCCUCUUGUGAUGCAGCGAGCGCCGGGCGAGGUCCGCGCU
rnacentral:rRNA from 1 species